rnacentral:rRNA from 1 species
UACAGGGGGUGCAAACGUUGCUCGGAAUCAUUGGGCGUAAAGCGCACGUAGGCGGUCUGUUAUGUCGGAUGUGAAAGCCCUCGGCUCAACUGAGGAAGUGCAUCCGAAACUGGCAGGCUAGAGUACUAAAGAGGGUCGCGGAAUUCCCGGUGUAGAGGUGAAAUUCGUAGAUAUCGGGAGGAACACCAGUGGCGAAGGCGGCGACCUGGGUAGAUACUGACGCUGAGGUGCGAAAGCGUGGGGAGCAAACAGG